GUGGGGAAUCUUCCACAAUGGACGAAAGUCUGAUGGAGCAACGCCGCGUGAGUGAAGAAGGGUUUCGGCUCGUAAAGCUCUGUUGUCGGGGACGAAUGUGCAGUAUUUGAAUAAAGUAGUGCAAUGACGGUACCUGACGAGGAAGCCACGGCUAACUACGUGCCAGCAGCCGCGGUAAUACGUAGGUGGCAAGCGUUGUCCGGAAUUAUUGGGCGUAAAGGGAGCGCAGGCGGGAAGGUAAGUCGGUCUUAAAAGUGCGGGGCUCAACCCCGUGAUGGGAUCGAAACUAUCUUUCUUGAGUGCAGGAGAGGAAAGUGGAAUUCCUAGUGUAGCGGUGAAAUGCGUAGAUAUUAGGAGGAACACCAGUGGCGAAGGCGACUUUCUGGACUGUAACUGACGCUGAGGCUCGAAAGCCAGGGGAGCGAACGGGAUUAGAAACCCCGGUAGUCC
rnacentral:rRNA from 1 species